rnacentral:rRNA from 1 species
UGGGGAAUAUUGGACAAUGGGGGCAACCCUGAUCCAGCAAUUCUGUGUGCACGAAGAAGGUUUUCGGAUUGUAAAGUGCUUUCAGCAGGGAAGAAGAAAGUGACGGUACCUGCAGAAGAAGCGACGGCUAAAUACGUGCCAGCAGCCGCGGUAAUACGUAUGUCGCAAGCGUUANNNNNUCGGAAUUUUGGCAUAAGGGCAUCUAGGCGGCCCUGUAAGUCUAGGGUGAAAACCUGCGGCUCAACCGCAGGCCUGCCCCGGAAACUACAGGGCUAGAGUAUCGGAGAGAGGUGGACGGAACUGCACGAGUAGAGGUGAAAUUCGUAGAUAUGUGCAGGAAUGCCGAUGAUGAAGAUAGUUCACUGGACGGUAACUGACGCUGAAGUGCGAAAGCUAGGGGAGCAAACAGGAUUAGAUACCCUGGUAGUCCUAGCUGUAAACGAUGAUUACUGGGUGUGGGCAUGAAGAGUGUCCGUGCCGAAGCAAAUGCGAUAAGUAAUCCGCCUGGGGAGUACGGCCGCAAGGCUG